rnacentral:rRNA from 1 species
GGGCUAGAAAUACUGGCGGCGUGCCUAUACAUGCAAGUCGAGCGAACAGACGAGGAGCUUGCUCCUCUGACGUUAGCGGCGGACGGGUGAGUAACACGUGGAUAACCUACCUAUAAGACUGGGAUAACUUCGGGAAACCGGAGCUAAUACCGGAUAAUAUAUUGAACCGCAUGGUUCAAUAGUGAAAGACGGUUUUGCUGUCACUUAUAGAUGGAUCCGCGCCGCAUUAGCUAGUUGGUAAGGUAACGGCUUACCAAGGCAACGAUGCGUAGCCGACCUGAGAGGGUGAUCGGCCACACUGGAACUGAAACACGGUCCAGACUCCUACGGGAGGCAGCAGUAGGGAAUCUUCCGCAAUGGGCGAAAGCCUGACGGAACAACGCCGCGUGAGUGAUGAAGGUCUUCGGAUCGUAAAACUCUGUUAUUAGGGAAGAACAAAUGUGUAAGUAACUAUGCACGUCUUGACGGUACCUAAUCAGAAAGCCACGGCUAACUACGUGCCAGCCGCCGCGGUAA